rnacentral:rRNA from 1 species
GACGAACGCUGGCGGCGUGCUUAACACAUGCAAGUCGAACGAGUCGCGAACGGGUGAGUAAUGUAUGGGGACUGCCCGAUAGAGGGGGAAAACUACUGGAAACGGUGGCUAAUACCGCAUACUGCGGGUUAACACAUAUGGGAUUAGCUAGUAGGUGAGGUAAUGGCUUACGUAGGCGACGAUCCCUAGCUGGUCUGAGAGGAUGAUCAGCCACACUGGGACUGAGACACGGCCCAGACUCCUACGGAGGCAGCAGUGGGGAAUAUUGGACAAUGGGCGCAAGCCUGAUGCAGCCAUGCCGCGUGUAUGAAGAAGGCCCUAGGGUUGUAAAGUACUUUCGGUCGGGAGGCGUUACCGACAGAAGAAGCACCGGCUAACUCCGUGCCAGCAGCCGCGGUAAUAC